AGUGAACGCUGGCGGUAGGCCUAACACAUGCAAGUCGAACGGCAGCACAGUAAGAGCUUGCUCUUACGGGUGGCGAGUGGCGGACGGGUGAGGAAUACAUCGGAAUCUACUUUUUCGUGGGGGAUAACGUAGGGAAACUUACGCUAAUACCGCAUAUGACCUACGGGUGAAAGCAGGGGAUCUUCGGACCUUUCGCGAUUGAAUGAGCCGAUGUCGGAUUAGCUAGUUGGCGGGGUAAAGGCCCACCAAGGCGACGAUCCGUAGCUGGUCUGAGAGGAUGAUCAGCCACACUGGAACUGAGACACGGUCCAGACUCCUACGGGAGGCAGCAGUGGGGAAUAUUGGGCAAUGGGCGCAAGCCUGAUCCAGCCAUACCGCGUGGGUGAAGAAGGCCUUCGGGUUGUAAAGCCCUUUUGUUGGGAAAGAAAAGCAGCAGGUUAAUACCCCGCUGUUCUGACGGUACCCAAAGAAGAAGCACCGGCUAACUACGUG
rnacentral:rRNA from 1 species